rnacentral:rRNA from 1 species
AACGAACGCUGGCGGCAGGCUUAACACAUGCAAGUCGAACGCCCCGCAAGGGGAGUGGCAGACGGGUGAGUAACGCGUGGGAACAUGCCCAAAGGUACGGAACAACUCCGGGAAACUGGAGCUAAUACCGUAUGUGACCGAGAGGUGAAAGACUUAUCGCCUUUGGAUUGGCCCGCGUUGGAUUAGCUGGUUGGUGGGGUAAAGGCCUACCAAGGCGACGAUCCAUAGCUGGUCUGAGAGGAUGAUCAGCCACACUGGGACUGAGACACGGCCCAGACUCCUACGGGAGGCAGCAGUGGGGAAUAUUGGACAAUGGGCGCAAGCCUGAUCCAGCCAUGCCGCGUGAGUGAUGAAGGCCUUAGGGUUGUAAAGCUCUUUCGCCAGGGACGAUAAUGACGGUACCUGGAUAAGAAGCCCCGGCUAACUUCGUGCCAGCCGCCGCCGUAAAAC